UGAGGUAAUGGCCCACCAAGACUAUUACAGGUACGGGCUCUGAGAGGAGUAGCCCGGAGAUGGGUACUGAGACACGGACCCAGGCCCUAUGGGGCGCAGCAGGCGAGAAAACUUUGCAAUGUGCGAAAGCACGACAAGGUUAAUCCGAGUGAUUUGUGCUAAACGAAUCUUUUGUUAGUCCUAGAAACACUAACGAAUAAGGGGUGGGCAAGUUCUGGUGUCAGCCGCCGCGGUAAAACCAGCACCUCAAGUGGUCAGGAUGAUUAUUGGGCCUAAAGCAUCCGUAGCCGGCUCUGUAAGUUUUCGGUUAAAUCUGUACGCUCAACGUACAGGCUGCCGGGAAUACUGCAGAGCUAGGGAGUGGGAGAGGUAGACGGUACUCGGUAGGAAGGGGUAAAAUCCUUUGAUCUAUUGAUGACCACCUGUGGCGAAGGCGGUCUACCAGAACACGUCCGACGGUGAGGGAUGAAAGCUGGGGGAGCAAACCGGAUUAGAUACCCGGGUAGUCCCAGCUGUAAACUAUGCAAACUCAGUGAUGCAUUAACUUGUGGUCAAUGCAGUGCUGCAGGGAAGCCGUUAAGUUUGCCGCCUGGGAAGUACGUACGCAAGUAUGAAACUUAAAGGAAUUGGCGGGGGAGCAC
rnacentral:rRNA from 1 species